rnacentral:lncRNA from 1 species
AACCGCUAAGCUCCUUCAUGUUUGAUAUAAUAUUUGCACGCCCAUGAGCGUCAAUAUCAUGAGAUCCAAAGUCAACUCCAGACUGAUCACUCUCCAACUGAAGAGGUAUCUCAGAAGGUUGGGCUUCAGCAGUUAUUUGGGGUUGGACUUCCAUAGUUUCAUUGUGUGAUUCCCUCUCAGACGGAACAGGCAUCUCAGAAGGUUGGGCUUCAGCAGUUAUUUGGGGUUGGACUUCAUAGUUUCAUUGUGUGAUUCCCUCUCAGACGGAACAGGCAUCUCAGAAGGUUGGGCUUCAGCAGUUAUUUGGGGUUGGACUUCCAUAGUUUCAUUGUGUGGUUCCCUCUCAGACGGAACAGGCAUCUCAGAAGGUUGGGCUUCAGCAGUUAUUUGGGGUUGGACUUCCAUAGUUUCAUUGUGUGAUUCCCUCUCAGACGGAACAGGCAUCUCAGAAGGUUGGGCUUCAGCAUUAUUUUGGGGCUGGACUUCCAUAGGCUCAUUAUGUGAUUCCACCUCAUGAAUCCCAACAUUCGUUUUAGAAUAAGACUCUUCAGCCUCCUCUUGGGGUUGGAC